rnacentral:rRNA from 1 species
AUUGAACGCUGGCGGCAUGCUUUACACAUGCAAGUCGAACGGUAACAGGCCGCAAGGUGCUGACGAGUGGCGAACGGGUGAGUAAUGCAUCGGAACGUGCCCAGUCGUGGGGGAUAACUACUCGAAAGAGUAGCUAAUACAGCAUACGAUCUAUGGAUGACAGCGGGGGACCGUAAGGCCUCGCGCGAUUGGAGCGGCCGAUGUCAGAUUAGGUAGUUGGUGGGGUAAAGGCUCACCAAGCCAACGAUCUGUAGCUGGUCUGAGAGGACGACCAGCCACACUGGGACUGAGACACGGCCCAGACUCCUACGGGAGGCAGCAGUGGGGAAUUUUGGACAAUGGGCGCAAGCCUGAUCCAGCAAUGCCGCGUGCAGGAAGAAGGCCUUCGGGUUGUAAACUGCUUUUGUACGGAACGAAACGGCUCUGGUUAAUACCCGGGGCUAAUGACGGUACCGUAAGAAUAAGCACCGGCUAACUACGUG